GUGAACGCUGGCGGUAGGCCUAACACAUGCAAGUCGAACGGCAGCACAGUAAGAGCUUGCUCUUACGGGUGGCGAGUGGCGGACGGGUGAGGAAUACAUCGGAAUCUACUUUUUCGUGGGGGAUAACGUAGGGAAACUUACGCUAAUACCGCAUACGACCUACGGGUGAAAGCAGGGGAUCUUCGGACCUUGCGCGAUUGAAUGAGCCGAUGUCGGAUUAGCUAGUUGGCGGGGUAAAGGCCCACCAAGGCGACGAUCCGUAGCUGGUCUGAGAGGAUGAUCAGCCACACUGGAACUGAGACUCGGUCCAGACUCCUACGGGAGGCAGCAGUGGGGAAUAUUGGACAAUGGGCGCAAGCCUGAUCCAGCCAUACCGCGUGGGUGAAGAAGGCCUUCGGGUUGUAAAGCCCUUUUGUUGGGAAAGAAAAGCAGCAGGUUAAUACCCCGCUGUUCUGACGGUACCCAAAGAGUAAGCACCGGCUAACUUCGUG
rnacentral:rRNA from 1 species